rnacentral:rRNA from 1 species
GAUGAACGCUGGCGGCGUGCCUAACACAUGCAAGUCGAGCGGGGUUUUAUCAGAGCUUGCUUUAAUAAAACCAAGCGGCGGACGGGUGAGUAACGCGUGGGUAACCUGCCCUAUACACAGGGAUAACAUUAAGAAAUUGAUGCUAAUACCAGAUAAGCUAACAGCUAGGCAUCUAGCAGUUAGAAAAACUGAGGUGGUAUAGGAGGGGCCCGCGUCUGAUUAGCUAGUUGGUGGGGUAAAGGCCUACCAAGGCGACGAUCAGUAGCCGACCUGAGAGGGUGAUCGGCCACAUUGGAACUGAGACACGGUCCAAACUCCUACGGGAGGCAGCAGUGGGGAAUAUUGCACAAUGGGGGGAACCCUGAUGCAGCAACGCCGCGUGAAGGAAGAAGUAUUUCGGUAUGUAAACUUCUAUCGAUAGGGAAGAAAGAAAUGACGGUACCUAAAUAAGAAGCACCGGCUAAAUACGUGCCAGCAGCCGCGGUAAUACGUAUGGUGCAAGCGUUAUCCGGAUUUACUGGGUGUAAAGGGUGAGUAGGCGGUUAAGCAAGUCAUAUGUGAAAUUCUGGGGCUCAACCUCAGAGCUGCAUAAGAAACUGUUUAACUAGAGUACAGGAGAGGUAAGCGGAAUUCCUAGUGUAGCGGUGAAAUGCGUAGAUAUUAGGAAGAACACCGGUGGCGAAGGCGGCUUACUGGACUGAAACUGACGCUGAGUCACGAAAGCGUGGGGAGCGAACAGGAUUAGAUACCCUGGUAGUCCACGCCGUAAACGAUGAGUGCUAGGUGUUGGGGAGAGAUUCUCGGUGCCGCAGCAAACGCAAUAAGCACUCCACCUGGGGAGUACGACCGCAAGGUUGAAACUCAAAGGAAUUGACGGGGACCCGCACAAGCGGUGGAGCAUGUGGUUUAAUUCGAAGCAACGCGAAGAACCUUACCUAAACUUGACAUACCAGUGACAGAUUAUGUAAUGUAAUUUUCCUUCGGGACAGUGGAUACAGGUGGUGCAUGGUUGUCGUCAGCUCGUGUCGUGAGAUGUUGGGUUAAGUCCCGCAACGAGCGCAAACCCCUAUACUUAGUAGCCAGCAUUAAGGAUGGGCACUCUAGGUAGACUGCCGUGGAUAACACGGAGGAAGGUGGGGAUGACGUCAAAUCAUCAUGCCCCUUAUGUUUAGGGCUACACACGUGCUACAAUGGCUGUAACAAAGUGAGGCGAGAUAGUGAUAUGGAGCAAAAGCACAGAAAAAACGGUCCCAGUUCGGAUUGUAGUCUGCAACUCGACUACAUGAAGAAUGGAAUCGCUAGUAAUCGCGAAAUCAGAAAUGUCGCGGUGAAUACGUUCCCGGGUCU